rnacentral:lncRNA from 1 species
AUUGCCUGGGAAACUAAGUCACGUGAGAACCUGGGGACGCUAGGUUCCGGAACCUGACCUGAGCUGGGGCCUGUGCUUCCAGCGGGUGGUGGGGGGCCUGGUGUGCUGGCAUCAAGUAAGCCGACUACCUCGGCAAAGGCUUAGGGACAAGAGACCAGCAGCCUGAACUGGCUGGGGCAUCCGGAAGGCUUAGAUCUUGUGGCCAAGAGUUCAGACCGUGGCGAAGUGGAGAGUGACAUGCAGUUGGAUGGCGGUGACUGCGUGCAUUCCACAAUCACGGGCUACUUCAAUUCUGCCUGCUGAGCUGAUUUAAUAAUCUGGAAGAGGAUUAUUCUCCCCCAUCUGGAAGAGGAUUAUUCUCUAUAAUCCCAGUUAGAGACACAAUGACAUAAACAUCGCUGUCCUGCAACCCUGGUUCCAGUCUGGCAAGCAUUGUAGACCUGGCUGCUGAAGACUGACGGGGCCCAGGGUCCGCUGCCCCCACCGCCAUCACCACCUCGGAACCCAGGGUAACGCUGUCAGUCUUUGAGCCUACGAGGAAACCAUUCGGAAGCUCCAGAACCCAGGCCCUAAUCACAACGCCCCUAUCCAGCAGGAAGCAGCCAGAUGAUCAACGACGCCCUUUUUCCUUUUUAUACUAAAGUAAGAAAUAAGAAUGUUAGCCCAAACUGCACUAUUUUGCAGACCCCUACCAUUUUACAAACUGGUCAGAGUGGAAAAUUCCACCAGGGCCUGAGCUGUGAGAAACAUCCUGUCAGGCAGGUCCCAGGCCUAACCCCUGGCUGCACUAAAUUCCUUCAUUAUCAGCAGCCAAACACACCGCCCCCACCCCAUUUUCACAACAAUCCCAGACCUCUCCUGCCCGGGACUGUAACUGGUCCAGCCUGUAAGCGGGAAGGGGGCUCUGGCACUAGCUGGUACCCCCUCUCCGCAGGUCUUUCUCCCAAUAAAUCUGUGUUGCCAUUGA